rnacentral:rRNA from 1 species
GACGAACGCUGGCGGCGUGCCUAACACAUGCAAGUCGAACGGAGAUAUCAAUGAAGCUUGCGAUUUGAUAUCUUAGUGGCGGACGGGUGAGUAACGCGUGGGUAAUCUACCUUUUAGUGGGGAACAACAGUUGGAAACGACUGCUAAUACCGCAUAAGCUGCUUCGGCAGGAAAGAUGGCCUCUGAAUAUGCUGUCGCUGAAAGAUGAGCCCGCGUCUGAUUAGCUGGUUGGUGGGGUAAAGGCCUACCAAGGCGACGAUCAGUAGCCGGCCUGAGAGGGUGAACGGCCACACUGGGACUGAGACACGGCCCAGACUCCUACGGGAGGCAGCAGUGGGGAAUAUUGCGCAAUGGGGGAAACCCUGACGCAGCGACGCCGCGUGAGCGAUGAAGGCCUUAGGGUUGUAAAGCUCUGUUUUAGGGGACGAAUGUCCAUGUGAGUAAUAUGCGCGUGGAAUGACGGUACCCUAAGAGGAAGCCCCGGCUAACUACGUG